rnacentral:misc_RNA from 1 species
UCCGAGUUGACCCCGGCAGUCUCCCAUGAGUCCCCGGCAUAACCCGCUGGCAACAUGGGACAAGGGUUGCGCUCGUUGCGGGACUUAACCCAACAUCUCACGACACGAGCUGACGACAGCCAUGCACCACCUGUCACCCGCCCCGAAGGACACGGGCUUUCACCCGCUUUAACCAGCAUGUCAAGCCCAGGUAAGGUUCUUCGCGUUGCAUCGAAUUAAAGAACAUGCUCCGCUGCUUGUGCGGGCCCCCGUCAAUUCUUUUGAGUUUUAGCCUUGCGGCCGUACUCCCCAGGCGGGGUACUUAAUGCGUUAGCUGCGGCACGGAACCCGUUGAUAAGGCCCCACACCUAGUACCCACCGUUUACGGCAUGGACUAC